CGGGCCGGUGACCUAGGGGUUCCGCGGGGAAGCGAACCCGCAUGCAGGAGGCUUCGGGGGUUGGGAAGAGGAUGCAUACAAAUUGGCAGGAAUGAAGAAGGGGCUCUUCCCUGCUCCUCUAAUCCCACCACUUCCAAGAGAAACCUGCUUUCUUCCCCCUUGACUUCCCAGGACCAAGGACUUUCAGGCGAAUGUGGGUAAUGGGUGAUGACUAGAACUCAGUGCUGAGUUAUCAAGGCCUGCCCAGGAUGCUCAGAAGCUAGAAGAGCUGGAAGAGUGAAUGCAAUCAUGUUCUGGAGGGAGAGCCGAGGAUCAAGAAUGAGAAGUGACUGUAUAUAUACACCAUCAUGGAAUGGAACUGGUGACAUUGCCAGCUACAGAGUCAACAGAAAUUGGAGCCCUCUUCAAAUUUCUUUUCACCACCUUGCAGAAGAGCUCCAGAUUGGACUCAGAACUCUGG